AUGGCUCAUUAAAUCAGUUAUCGUUUAUUUGAUCGUACCUUUACUACUUGGAUAACCGUGGUAAUUCUAGAGCUAAUACAUGCGAAAAGUCCCGACUUCUGGAAGGGAUGUAUUUAUUAGAUUCAAAACCAAUGCGGGUUCUGCCCGGUCAUUUGGUGAUGAAGCUCCCACCUCGAUACAACGCUGAAAACAAAUUUGAGGACCAAUAAAUAUGUGUGUUAUUACUUGCAUUCUUCGUUGUGCGAGAUGAUUUAAAAAAAACACGUAUUUGAGUGAUUAUUUGAAUGGAUUAUAACUAGUCUUGCGUAAUCUUGUGUC
rnacentral:ncRNA from 1 species